UAAUAAAAUUGAACAAAAAGUUUGAAUUGAAUAAAUUUAAAAUUUAGAGAACUUAAUUGAACGCAAGUAAAGUUAGAAAAUUGGAUUAAAUUUAAGUUAAACUUGGUGCAAUUUGCACUUUAGCUUAAAAAAUUUUCUCCAUCCGUGUCUAAUUGUUGGUCAUGUUUAAACAACUCAAAUUUUUAAUGGAGCAUCACUUAAAGAUAGAAGGUUCCAAAAUUACUCUUAAACAAAGUAAUAAAAAAUUUUAUCUUUUAAAUAAAAUAAAAGUUAUCAAAAUUUUUAAAUAUAGUUACCCAAUUGGAAUUUUGGAUCUUUAAAAAAAAUUACAAAUUGAGUGACGUGAUUUAGAAUUUAGGACUCCAACAAAUUAAUGUAGGGUAAAUUACAAAUUUGAUCCUAAACCUUUAUACUGUAUCAAAUUAGUCCUUAACGUUUUAAAUAUGUUAGUUUAGCCCAUAACCUUUUGAUAUCGUAUCAAAAUGGUCUAUGUCAUUAAAUGAUAAAUGGAAAAUGUUGACGUGACUAACAGUUAAAAUAAAAUUUCAUUUUCAUGUCACUUGCACGGCCACAUAUGUUGCAAGUUUUUGCCCAAUCUCAAUAGAGAUUUUAGAUUAACAAAUCCUUUGUAGAUGUUGGUUCUUUUUUGUGUUAUUUCCAUUGACUCCUAAAUAUAAAUUUAGUUGAUAUUAUUUUUUCUACCAGUUAAAAAAAAAAAAUUAAAAGCAGUUGUGGAAAAAAAAAAAAAAAAAAACCCCAAUAUUUAAUAAAAAAUAAUCAAACAAAACUCGUGGAAACCAAACAAACCAUUCGCCGGGGUUUUUUUUUUUUCAAGUCGCUCUUCAGAUUGGAAUUGUUGGCUUCUGCUCAGAUUGGAAACUACAGAGUACAGACCCAUGACCCGAAUCUUUCUUCAUGGGUUGGUUGAGAAGCUGUAGUUGACGAUGAUGAAGUUGAAGAUGAAUAAGUUGAUUAGUGGUUUUAGAAGCUCUCUCUCAUGCUUUUGUUUAGGAAGUUUUACCGAAAAAUGCUAGUGCGACAAAAUAUUUCACAACUUUUACCACAAUCCGCUAUGUGGCGAGUUGUGAGUGAUAGAGAAAAAGUAAUGGGUCCAUAUCUCUACCACUUAUAACUUGCCACGUGUCGAGUUGUAAUAAAAGUUGUGAAACAUUUUGUCGCACUAGCAUUUCUCUUUUUGUGGCUAGCAUUUCUCAUUUUCUCUGCCACUCACAACUCGCUACGUGACGGGUUGUGGUAAAAGUUGUGAAAUAUUUUGUUGCACUAGCAUUUUUCAUUUUUAAGUGGGUAUUUUUUUUAGUCAUUGUGGUAUA